ACAAGCGGUCGGAGCAGCCUUGUGCUGUGACGGCGUGCCUUUUGCAUAAUGAACCUACGAGUUACUUUUUCCGGCAAGGUUAAGUGUCUUGAGACAUGCAGCCGAAGCGAAAGCGAGUCUGAACAGGGCGUCAAGUCGGAAGGAGUAGACGCGAAACCAAGUGAUCUACCCUUGGCCAGGUUGAAGGUUAGGUAACACUAACUGGAGGACCGAACCGAUAAGCGUUGAAAAGCUUCCGGAUGAGCUGAGGGUGGGGGUGAAAGGCUAAUCAAACUUGGAGAUAGCUCGUACUCCCCGAAAUGCAUUUAGGUGCAGCCUCGCGGGUUACUGAUGUGAGGUAGAGCGACUGAUUGGAUGCGAGGGCUUCACCGCCUAUCAAGUCCUGACAAACUCCGAAUGCGCAUCAGUUUUACCGCGGGAGUGAGGGCAUGGGUGCUAAGGUCCGUGCCCGAGAGGAGAAGAAUCCGGACUAUCAGCUAAGGCCCCGAAAUGACAGCUAAGUUAAACUAACGAAGUCUGAUUGCUAAGACAGCUAGGAUGUUGGCUUGGAAGCAGCCAUUCAUUUAAAGAGUGCGUAACAGCUCACUAGUCGAGGAAUCGGGCGUGGAUAAUAAUCGGGUAUUAAGUUGUCUGCCGAAGCUAUAGAAUCAUCAAUGAUUGGUAGGGGAGCAUUCCAUUCGGCGUUGAAGGCGUGGCGUGAGCCAUUCUGGAGCGUAUGGAAAAGCAAAUGUAGGUAUAAGUAACGAUAAAGGGGGUGAGAAACCCCCUCGCCGAAAGACUAAGGUUUCCUGAUCAACGCUAAUCGGAUCAGGGUAAGUCGGGUCCUAAGGUUCAGCCGAACGGCGAGACCGAUGGCAGAAACGGUUAAUAUUCCGUUACUACCUUUGAGGGUGACGUGGGGACGCAGUAGUGACACCGCCGCCGGCUGACGGAAUAGCCGGUUAAAGAGUGUAGAC
rnacentral:rRNA from 1 species